UAAGGCGCGAAAGGCGUGGGUAGGCGAACGGAAUUAGAAACUCCCGGUAGUCCCACGCCGUAAACCGGUGGGUAUUAGGUGUGGGGAGUACUGACCCUUCUUCUGUGCCCGAAGGCUAACCGCGUUAAAUACCCCCCGCCUGGGGACUACGGCCGCAAGGCUAAAACUCCAAAGGAAUUGACGGGUCUCCCGCACAAGCCAGCGGAGGCGUGUGGUUCCAAUUCGAAGAUACACGAAGAACCUUACCUGGGCUUGACAUGUAGGUAGUAGUGAAGCGAAAGCGGAACGAUCCCUUCGGGAAGCCUACACAGGUGCUGCAUGGCUGUCGUCAGCUCGUGCCGUGAGGUGUUGGGUUAAGUCCCGUAACGAGCGCAACCCCUACUGUCCAGUUACAAGUGUCUGGCGGAACUGCCGGUGACAAACCGGAGGAAGGUGGGGAUGACGUCAAGUCAGCAUGGCCUUUAUGUCCAGGGCUACACACACGCUACAAUGGCCGGAACAAUGGGUCGCCAAACCGCGAGGUGGAGCUAA
rnacentral:rRNA from 1 species